CAGCGGCGGCGGGGUCACGGCGCCAAGGCGAGCGCGACAGGAAGGAUAAAACAAAUCACAACUCGAGUGAGGUGGUGUCGAAAAAGGAAAUAGCAGGAGGACUCAACCACAAAACCGAACUACACAAAACCAGAUGGAUUUCAGCUUAUCCCUCGGAUGGAAAGCUCAGCGCACUUCCCACCAACACGUCCCCUGUAGAGUCCCAAGGAAAGGAACCAGCACAGCUCCCUUGUUGGAGUCAACUGAAAAGAGAAUCAAACCCACCUGUUGGAAAGCACAUCCACACGUAUCCAGCGGCACGUCCAAAGACUGCACUCACUGCCUCCCUACACAAGACGUGUCCCAUUGUUAGAAAACAAACAGCAACAAUUUUCACUAGCUGCCUAACUGCUUGCAAGAAACACUGAGAAACCACAACUGCAAAUUCUCGCAAAGCAUCUGAAGUUUUCUUGUUGAAGUGGGUUUGGAAAAAACAACGUCCACUCCACCACCCCCUUUUUGUUUUCUUUUUUUUUUCCUUUUUAAAUCAUUGUUCUCCAUUACAAGCCUUGGGAUCCACUUAGCUGUUUGCUCAAACACACAGGAGACACAGACAGCUCCCACUCAGUCCAGCCUAGCCCCUCGGCUGCUGGUGGGGUCACAGCCUGCCACCCAUCCAGGAAAACCAAUACUCACUGGUGACAAUGGGCCAUUUAUAUGGACCGUUAUUCACUUCCACAACAGUCACCAUAAAGCUGCACCUAUGUUGAAUCAUAACCUACCCCUAACGGGAGCUCACAGUGUUCUGAGGAAAAAGAAAGAAAAGAAAAACAACCCUGCA